AAGAGAGAAAAGAGUUUACGCCGGAGCCUCGCGAGGGAAGCGUCUUAGUCGUGUCCGGCCGCUUUGCGGGACCCUGAGGAAAAGCUCGUACCAGGUGGACGCCGCUCUGUUCGCCAUGGGUAAAGGAGGCCCCAACAAGCCGAGGGGCAAAAGGUCCUCGUACGCCUUCUUCGUGCAGACCUGCCGGGAAGAGCACAAGAAGAAACACCCGGACUCUUCCGUCAAUUUCACGGAGUUCUCCAAGAAGUGUGCGGAGAGAUGGAAGACCGUGUCUGCAAAGGAGAAGUCGAAGUCUGAAGAUAUGGCAAAAAGUGGCAAAGCUCGCUAUGAUAGGGAGAUGAAAAAUUACGUCCUUCCCAAAGGUCAUAAGAAAGGAAAGGAAAAGGAUCCCAAUGCUCCUAAAAGGCCGCCAUCUGCCUUCUUCCUGUUUUGCUCUGAACACCGCCCAAACAUCAAAAGUGAACACCCAGGCCUAUCCAUUGGGGAUACGGCAAAGACAUUGGGUGGAAUGUGGUCUGAGCAGUCAGCCAAAGAUAAACAACCGUAUGAACAGAAAGGAGCUAAACUAAAGGAGAAAUAUGAAAAGGAUAUUGCUGCAUAUUGUGCCAAGGGCAAAAGUGAAGCAGGAAAGAAAGGCCCUGGCAGGCCAACAGGCUCAAAGAAGAAGAAUGAACCAGAAGAUGGGGAGGAGGAGGAGGAGGAGGAAGAAGAUGAAGAUGAUGAGGAAGAGGAUGAAGAUGAAGAAUAAAUGGCUAUCCUUUAAUGAUGAGUGUGGAGUGUGCGUGUGUGCUCAGGCAAUCGUUUUCCUAAGAAUGUCAAUUCAAGUGCAGCUCAAUAUUAGCUUCAGUAUAAAAAUGUACAGAUUUUUGUAGAGCUGAUAAGAUUCUCUGUAGAGAAAAUACUUUUUAAAAACUGCAGGUUGUAGCUUUUCGAUGGGCUACUACAUACAGUUAGAUUUUACAACUUCUGAUGUUGAAUGUUCCUAAAUAUUUAAUGGUUUUUUAAAUUUCUUGACUUGUGUAUGGUAGCACAGCAAACUUGUAGGAAUUAGUAUCAAUAGUAAAUUUUUGGUUUUUUAGGAUGUUGCCUUUUGUUUUUUAAGAAAAAAAUUUUGUAAUAAAAUUAUGUAUAUUAAAAAAAAAGAAAAAACAA